rnacentral:rRNA from 1 species
AGAGUUUGAUCCUGGCUCAGGAUGAACGCUAGCGGCAGGCUUAACACAUGCAAGUCGAGGGGUAACAGGGAGCUUGCUCCGCUGACGACCGGCGCACGGGUGCGUAACGCGUAUAGAACCUACCUUUUACAGAGGGAUAGCCUUUAGAAAUGAAGAUUAAUACCUUAUGGUAUUGUAGACUGGCAUCAGUUUAUAAUUAAAGAUUUAUCGGUAAAAGAUGGCUAUGCGUCCUAUUAGCUAGUUGGUAAGGUAACGGCUUACCAAGACAGCGAUAGGUAGGGGUCCUGAGAGGGAGAUCCCCCACACUGGUACUGAGACACGGACCAGACUCCUACGGGAGGCAGCAGUGAGGAAUAUUGGACAAUGGAGGAGACUCUGAUCCAGCCAUGCCGCGUGUAGGAAGAAUGCCCUAUGGGUUGUAAACUACUUUUAUACAGGAAGAAACACUGGUAUGUAUACCAGCUUGACGGUACUGUAAGAAUAAGGACCGGCUAACUCCGUGCCAGCAGCCGCGGUAAUACGGAGGGUCCGAGCGUUAUCCGGAAUCAUUGGGUUUAAAGGGUCCGCAGGCGGUCGAUUAAGUCAGAGGUGAAAUCCCAUAGCUCAACUAUGGAACUGCCUUUGAUACUGGUUGACUUGAGUCAUAUGGAAGUAGAUAGAAUGUGUAGUGUAGCGGUGAAAUGCAUAGAUAUUACACAGAAUACCGAUUGCGAAGGCAGUCUACUACGUAUGUACUGACGCU